ensembl:lncRNA
UCCUGCUAAGCUGGUCUACCCCAGGCUGCUGUGGAACUGUGAAUCUCUUGCAUUUAUCAGCAUUAAACAGAAGCAAUAAGCUCCUAGUGGUGCCGUGAAGGGCUUUUCUUUCCUGGGUAGUAAAUCUGCAGUAACUCUCUCUUACAGUUUUAUUGAGGGUUAUCAAGUGUUUAUUCAAAAGGCAUUUCCGUGCAUUCAACGUUCUUCUAAUUGGGCAGUGACUUGUAACAUCCUUCCCAGACAGACUAUUAUUGCUGUGGUAAAAUUCUUUGUGUUUAGGCCAUAGAGUGUCCAUGUUGCUAACUUGCUGGGUGGAGAGGAAGCAGGGUGCUGUCAGCAUGUGGUUUCUUCCAUGUGGAGUCCAACUUUGGAAGAAGAAUCUGGGCUCAGCGUGGAAAUGGUCAAUAAUCAGAGUGGUUUGGAAUGAAAUCCCUUUGUAGGGACAUUUGGAAACGUGGAGAGGGAAGUGGGAGAGGGGUAAGCUUGGAGGUUGGCUUGGUUUAUUAGGGGAAAAGUGUUGGUUUUUUUUUCUCCUGGUUGUUGUGAUGAAGAAAUCAGGAAUGAGAUGGACAAAAAUAAGGGAUGGAAGAAGAAUCUCCCAAACCUGCCACGAAACAGCUCCACAUCAUGCUCAGGGGAUCACAUCCAGCCCUGAAUCGCAGAACUGGCACCUUGGGAAGUGCUCAGCUGUGAAAACUGACUGGCAGGACAGCUUUGCCAUGUGGGAAAAAAAAAAAAAUGCUUUGACUUUCUUCUUUUUAAGAGGCUUUGUAAAUGGGAGCAGCUGAAUCGAGUCGCGGGCACAUUCAGCAGAUCGUCAGGGAGUACAAAGGCUGCAGUGCAACCUGUUGGUGCUUUAUGAAGUUGUUUUAGCAUGCUCCGUUGAGCUCUACGCUUACCUGCAUCAGAGAGAGGAACAGAGCGGUAGAAAGACGUUUUGGAGGCUGGCACCAACAGAGGGAAGAAUUAAAUAACGCUGUUGCAAAGGAUGGAAAAGGCUCAGAGGUGAUGCGAUGGCUCCAGGGGUGCUGACCUAUCCUUGCCCCACGUGGGGCUGCUGAGCAUCGUGCAGCUCUUGGUGCUGCUGCUGUGUGCACUCAGGUGCCAGCUCUGCCAAACCUUCUGCUGUCCUGUCCUCAUACCAUGUGUCCUCAUCAAAAAAAAACAGUGCAGCAAAACACAACAAGCAGUGUUAAAAAUGUGUUGCAGAUGUGGUAGUAACUCCCGGUUGCAAUAGGCAGAUGACUGUUUUUUCCUUGUUUCUGUCCUAAUAUUGGGUCCAGCUGAGACCAGGGUUUUACAUGUAACUACAGUGUCCCUGCCCUGCAGGUCAGGCACUGGUGAAACACAUGUCGGAAGAGAUGAAGAAACUUGUUCGGCAGCACGUGGUGCAGUCAGCGCCCUUCCCGUCUCCCAGAACCCCAACUCAUGGAGGCAGAACCAUCCUGUAGUUCUCUACCACAGAGAUCAUUUUGCUCUCAGACCUUCUGCUGACCCUGAACGACUUUUGUUCUUUAAGAGCUCUUUUAUUUCUCCCUCCUUCUCUCUCUCUCUCCUCUUUUUUUUCUGUUGUUGCUCAUAUUUUCCCCUCUCAUUAAUUAUACAGAUGUGCUGGGGGCCAUGUGCUUUGCCACAUCACAAAGGAAACCACAGGACUUCAGAUCAGAGGAUCUGCCAGAUGUCCUCGCCUGGCAGAGCACCGUGUGAGGGUCAUGGCUACAAGAGCAGGCUUUCCUGCAUCCAUGAGGCACAGCAGGGACAGCACCCAGCAAAGGGGCCACAUAGGAAACAAGCUUAGUGCAAGCACAGAGUAAGAGCUGUGGACUACUUGAAUUCACUGCUGGGGUCUUUUUUCCCCCUUUAUUUGAGGCACUAACCCCCAGGAUUCCUUAAGACCACAGCUGCUCAUCUGUGCUUUGGUUGAACAUCACCUUAUUUCCUAAUGAGCCCUUUACCCCUUGGUGCAGUUUGCAAUUUCAAGUCCAGAACUCAGACCUUCAGGACUGCUCCUGCUUGGGAAAAUGUGCUGUUUGUGUGUGGUUCACUUUGUUCUUAUGUAGUCCAUUCUUUGGAGUGUCAGUAAGAGUUAUUAAAGGCAAUGGCUU